UAGACGCCAUCCUCCAAAUAC
rnacentral:piRNA from 1 species